ensembl:snRNA U6 U6 spliceosomal RNA
GUGCUCGCUUUGAUAGCACAUAUACUAAAAUUAGAACAAUACAGAGAAGAUUAGCAUGGCCCCUGCACAAGGAUGACAAGCAAAUUUGUGAAACAUUCCAUAUUAAC